rnacentral:lncRNA from 10 species
GCUGGAGUGCAGUGGCGUGAUCUCUGCUCACUGCAAGCUCCACCUCCCAGGUUCACGCCAUUCUUCUGCCUCAAGCCUCCCGAGUAGCUGGGACUACAGGUGCCUGCCACUGCGCCUGGCUAAUUUUUUGUUUUAGUAGAGACGGGGUUUCACCGUGUUAGCCAGGAUGGUCUCGAUCUCCUGACCUCGUGAUCCGCCCACUUUGGCCUCCCAAAGUGCUGGGAUUACAGGCAUCAGCCACUGCGCCCGGCCAGCUUGGUUUUAUUCAUUUUAGGGAGACAUGAGUCAUCAAUCAAAUACAUUUAAGAAAUACAUUGGUUUGGUUCAGAAAGGCAGGACAAUGCAAAGCCGGGGCUUCCACGCUAUAGGUAAAUUUAAAUACUUUCUGGUUGACAGUUGGUUGAGUUUAUCUGAAGGCCGGGGAUCAAUGGAAAGAAAAUGUUCAGGUUAAGAUAAAGGAUUGUGGAGACCAAGUUUUAUUGUGCAGAGGAAGCUCUCAGAUAGCUGACUUCAGAGAGAGCAGGUUGUAAAAUGUUUCUUAUUGAACUUAGAAGGGUGCCUGGCUCUUAGCUGAUUAUCUCCUGGAUCUGGAAAGGAAGGAAGGAAAACAAAGGGGGAAAGGGGAUUCUCUACAGAAUGUGGAUUUUUCCCACAAGAGACUUUGCAGGGCUGUUUCAAGAUAUGGCAGAGAAACAUGUUUUGCAGUAAAAUAUUUUGAUUUUCUUCCUUGUUAUGCCAGAGUCAGAUUGGAAAGUAAGUCACAAUAUACAGGAUUAAAUAAAACCCAUCUGAUGAGAAUUGAUGAUUUGUAGGGCAUGACUCCCCAGACCCCUUAGAUAGGAAUUUGGGCAAAAAAAAAAAUCAGAGCUUAGUCCUCAUAUAUCACUAUAGGAUACAUUCCUGGAGGUAAAAUUGCUGGAUGAAGUCAACACUAUUAGUUGCCUAUUUAAAAAAUAUCCCCCUCUACACAUACACACACACACACACACACACACACACACCCCAUUUUUUGUAAUAGAACCCUGCUUUUAUUUGAAAUAGCCAUGUGUUCAAUUUAAAAACUCACUUUCCCAUCCUCAUUUGCACUUGUGCUGGUCAUGUGACGCUGCUUUUAGCAAUAAGAUGAAGGUGGUGGUUUCUGAGGGUAGUGUCCUUUUCAGAAUAAAAAGACAAAGCUUAUUUGCCUUCUUCUUCCUUUACUUUAUAUUCCUCUUUCUGCCAGGAAUAUAAAUGUGACUCUGUGGUGUCACGCGCAUCCGUGUGAAGAGACCACCAAACAGGCUUUGUGUGAGCAACAAGGCUGUUUAUUUCAACUGGGUGCAGGCGGGCUGAGUCCAGAAAGAGUCAGCGAAGGGAGAUAGGGGUGGGGCCGUUUUAUAGGAUUUGUGUGGGUAGUGGAAAAUUACAGUCAAAAGGGGUUUUUCUCUUGCAGGCAUAGGUGGGGGUCACAAGGUGCUCAGUGGGGGAGUUUCUAAGCCAGGAGAAGGAAUUUCACAAGGUUAAUCGCUCAGUUAAGGUGGGGCAGCAACAAAUCACAAUGGUGGGAUGUCAUAAGUUAAGGCAGGAAUGGGCCAUUUUCACUUCUUCUGUGAUUCUUCAGUUACUUCAGGCCAUCUGGAUGUAUACGUGCAGGUCACAGGGGAUAUGAUGGCUUAGCUUGGGCUCAGAGGCCUGACAUGUGGGUACAGCAGCUAUCUUGUGACCAUGAAACGGAGGCAGGAAAAUGAAGACCUGUGCACCAAAAUGCAGGAAGUCAACGUCAUAUGUAUUAAAAUACACUGCGUGUCUCCCAUCCACAUGACAAGUAUUGGUGAGAGGUGACAGCGUGCUGGCAGUCCUCAGAGCCCUCGCUUGCUCUCGGCACCUCCCCUGCCUGGGCUCCCAGUUUGGUGGCAUUUGAGGAUCCCUUCAGCCCCCCCACUGCACUGUGGGAGCCCCUUUCUGGGCUGGCCAAGGCCGGAGCCCACUCCCUUAGCUUGCAGGGAGGUGUGGAGGGAGAGGCACGAGCGGGAACCGGGGCUGCCUGCGGCGCUUGCGGGCCAGCUGGAGUUCCGGGUGGGCGUGGGCUUGGUGGGCCCCGCACUCGGGCAGCCAGUCAGCCCUGCUGGCCCCAGGUAAUGGGGGACUUAGCACGCGGGCCAGUGGCUGCGGAGGGUGUACUGGGUCCCCCAGCAGUGCUGGCCCACCGGCGCUGCGCUCGAUUUCUCGCCGGGCCUUAGCUGCCUUCCCACGGGGCAGGGCUCGGGACCUGCAGCCCGCCAUGCCUGAGCCUCCCACCCCCUCUGUGGGCUCCUGUGCGGCCCGAGCCUCCCCGACGAGCACCACCCCCUGCUCCAAGGCGCCCAGUCCCAUCGACCACCCAAGGGCUGAGGAAUGCGAGCAAACGGCGCAGGACUGGCAGGCAGCUCCACCUGCAGCCACGGUGCGGGAUCCACUAGGUGAAGCCAGCUGGGCUCCUGAGUCUGGUGAGGACGUGGAGAGUCUUUAUAUCUAGCUCAGGGAUUGUAAAUACACCAAUCAGCACCCUGUGUUUAGCUCAAGGUUUGUGAGUGCACCAGUCGACACUCUGUAUCUAGCUGCUCUGGUGAGGACGUGGAGAGUCUUUAUAUCUAGCUCAGGGAUUGUAAAUGCACCAAUCAGCACCCUGUGUUUAGCUCAAGGUUUGUGAGUGCACCAGUCUACAGUCUGUAUCUAGCUGCUCUGGUGAGGACGUGGAGAGUCUUUAUAUCUAGCUCAGGGAUUGUAAAUACACCAAUCAGCACCCUGUGUUUAGCUCAAGGUUUGUGAGUGCACCAAUUGACACUCUGUAUCUAGCUGCUCUGGUUGGGCCUUGGAGAACCUUUAUGUCUAGCUCAGGGAUUGUAAAUACACCAAUCGGCACUCUGUAUCUAGCUCAAGGUUUGUAAACACACCAAUCAGCACCCUGUGUUUAGCUGAAGGUUUGUGAGUGCACCAAUCGACACUCUGUAUCUAGCUGCUCUGGUGGGGCCUUGGAGAACCUGUGUGUGGAAACUCUGUAUCUAACUAAUCUGAUGGGGACGUGGAGAACCUUUGUAUCUAGCUCAGGGAUUGUAAACGCACCAAUCAGCGCCCUGACGAAACAGGCCACUCGGCUCUACCAAUCAGCAGGAUGUGGGUGGGGCCAGAUAAGAGAAUAAAAGCAGGCUGCCUGAGCCAGCAUUGGCAACCAGCUCGGGUCCCCUUCCACACCGUGGAAGCUUUGUUCUUUCACUCUUUGCAAUAAAUCUUGCUACUGCUCACUCUUCGGGUCCAGGCUGCUUUUAUGAGCUGUAACACUCACCGCGAAGAUCUGCAGCUUCACUCCUGAGCCAGCGAGACCACGAACCCACCAGAAGGAAGAAACUCCAAACACAUCUGAACAUCAGAAGGGACAGACUCCAGACGUGCCACCUUAAGAGCUGUAACACCGCGAGGGUCCGCAGCUUCAUUGUUGAAGUGAGACCAAGAACCCACCAAUUCCGGACACAUUGGUACUCUUGAAAAAAAAAAUCUCCCGCAGUACUAAAAGCUAAUAAUUCAUUGAUGACUAAUUUUGACUUAGUUUACUUUCCUUAUAACAACUAGCUGAGAUGAGCUACUCUAAAAGUAUAGGAUGUAAAAUAUGGGAAAAGUAAUCUUGUAACAAAGAGUCUUUUGGGAAGGGAUCCAUACCCCAAAAUAGAAGUACAGGGUAGAGUCCGGUGAGAGCACCAAAGAUCAAAAAAAAGAUGCAGUAAAUGGGAGGGAAGGAGGGCAGAAGGGAUACCCAUGUGUUACUGAAGUCAACUUUUAUUUAUUCUGAAGUUUUGCACUAUAGUCUGUGGGAAAUACAUUUUCUCUGUAUUACUGAGUGUUCCUGCAAACUCAGGCUCUUGAACCACAGAUAUUAAUCUACUAUGAAAAUGAAAAUGCUUGCUUUCAUUUCCCCCAUAAAUAUUUGUUCUCUACAACCUUCAUUAUAGAGACACUGGCUUCCACUUAAAGGAUAAUAAAACUUCUCUUACCUGGAGGCAGAGCCUUACAUUCCAGGAUAGGGAACUUCCCCUCCUCCCUAGAAAGAUCUCUGAAAGAAUGUAGAGAACUAUCUCUCCAUGAGUUUGCAAGUCAAAAGUGGAGAAAAGCCUCAAAGAGGCUGAUUUUAUCUUCCCAGUAGAGAUAGAUACUUAGAUUCCAAAAGGUGAGAAUCCACAAACUCCUUUCCUUUUUGUUCCUAAGGAAAAUGUGUUUACCUUAGGGAACAAAGCUUUUCCCUCUCCUUUGAGGAGAGUCUCUUUCCUAUAUGAAUUCUCAGGCUUGAGGACAACUCAGCAAUGUCGCUGUGGCUACUCUUAUUGCUGCCCUCCGAACCCUGAAGAGAUCAUCAUAUAUAUGUGCUGCCGAAGCGAGCACUCCUGAAGAGAUUAACUAAGAGUCUAGCACCUUUUAAGGUCUGAAUAGGAAACAUCUGUCAUCUAUUCUCUCUAAGGGCAGCCACUAUAAGAGUUCAAAAGAAACUUGCUCGCCACAAUCUUUUUUUUUUUUUUUUGAGAUGGAGUCUCACUCUGUUGCCCAGGCUGGAGUAGAGUGGCACCAUCUUGUCUCACUGCAACCUCCACCUCCCAGGUUCAAGUGAUCCUCCUGCCUCAGGCCCCCUAGUAGCUAGGAUUACAGGCACGCAUCACCAUGCCUGGCUAAUUUUUUUUUUUUUUUUGAGAUGGAGUUUCAUGCUGUUGCCCAGGCUGGAGUGCAAUGGCGCCAUCUUGACUCACUGCAACCUCCAUCUCCUGGGUUCAAGCCAUUCUCCUGCCUCAACUUCCCGAGUAGCUGGGAUUACAGGCGCCUGCCACCACGCCCAGCUAAUUUUUGUAUUUUUAGUAGAGAAGCGGUUUCACCAUGCUGGCCAGGCUGGUCUCGAACUCCCGACCUCAGGCUAUCCGCCUGCCUCAGCCUCCCAAAGUGCUGGGAUUAUAGAUGUGAGCCAGUGCGACUGGCCUAAGUGCUGGGAUUACGGGAGUGAGCCGCUGCGCCUGGCCUAAGUGCUGGGGUACAGGCGUGAGCCACCAGGCCAGCGAAGUCUCCACAAUCUUUUUUUUCUUUUUUUUUUGAGGCAGAGUCUCCCUCUGUCACCAGGCUGGAUUGCAGUGGCGAUCUCGGCUCACUGCAACCUCUGCCUCCCAGGUUCAAGCAAUUCUCCUGCCUCAGCCUCCUGAGUAGCUGGGACUACAGGAACGCACCACCAACCCCAGCUAAUUUUUGCAUUUUUGGUAGAGACAGGGUUUCUCCAUGUUGGCCAGGAUGGUCUCCAUCUCUUGACCUCGUGAUCUGCCCACCUCUGCCUCCCAAAGUGCUGGGAUUAUAGGUGUGAACGACCGUGCCCGGCCCCCACAAUCUUUUAUCUUAACCUGAGCAUUUCCUUUCUAUGGAUCCCAGGUCUUUAGACAAACUCAUCCAAUUGUCAACCAGAAAAUGUUUAAAUUUACCUAUAGCCUGGAAGGCCCCCCGACCGACGCCCUCCCGCCCCCGCCCCCGCCGCCCCUCCACUGCCUUAUCUGCUUUGAGUUGUCCCGCCUUUCUGGACCAAACCAAUGUACUUCUUAAAUGUAUUUGAUUAAUGUCUCAUGCCCUCCCUAAAAUGUAUAAAACCAAGCUGCACCCAACCACCUUGGGCACAUGUUCUCAGGAUCUCCUGAGGGCUGUGUCACAGACCAUGGUCACUCAUAUUUGGCUCAGAAUAAAUUUCUUUAAAUAUUUUACAGAGUUUGACUCUUUUUGUCAACACUGUGCACUUCAAAAAUGUUCAUGUCAUAGAAAACAAAGUUUGAGGAACUGUUCUAGAUUAAAGGAGC